AUUGAACGCUGGCGGCAGGCCUAACACAUGCAAGUUGAGCGAACCUAGCUUGCUAGGUGAGCGGCGAACGGGUGAGUAACGCGUAGGAAUCUGCCUGGUAGUGGGGGACAACGUUCCGAAAGGAACGCUAAUACCGCAUACGCCCUACGGGGGAAAGCAGGGGAUCUUCGGACCUUGCGCUAUCAGAUGAGCCUGCGUCGGAUUAGCUAGUUGGUAGGGUAAAGGCCUACCAAGGCGACGAUCCGUAACUGGUCUGAGAGGAUGAUCAGUCACACCGGAACUGAGACACGGUCCGGACUCCUACGGGAGGCAGCAGUGGGGAAUAUUGGACAAUGGGGGCAACCCUGAUCCAGCCAUACCGCGUGUGUGAAGAAGGCCUUCGGGUUGUAAAGCACUUUAGGUCGGGAGGAAGGUUCGCUGGCUAAUAUCCAGCGGAAUUGACGUUACCGACAGAAUAAGCACCGGCUAACUCCGUGCCAGCAGCCGCCGUAA
rnacentral:rRNA from 1 species